UUUAUUGGAGAUGACUUGAGUGUUAAUAUUUAUUUUCACUUCUGCCUUAUAAGUUUAGUUCAUAUACAAAUUCUAGGGCGGAUCAAAUUUGAAAGAAAAUCGAGCGUAUAAAUUUUGAUUUAUACGUAUUAUAUGCAUAUUAUAUACAACUAUAAUACAUGUUCAAUUUUUUAUCACUAUUGUUACACCAGCACAAUUCCGGAGAAAAAUGAAGUCUUUCUACCGGAGAAGAGAACGAUACACGGCGGUAUUAUUCUUAUUUCGCGCAGCUUUAAAGGUGAGAUUUUGAACUGAUCAGAUAUGAAGGAUUCUAUCAACAACCCUAAAAGGGUAAUCUUUUGGGAUUUGAACCUUAAAAGUCUGCUCUCCGCAAUCUAGCCUUUGUAUAGGAAGGACGCAGUACAAGAGCUGCAGUGCAAUCUUCCACAGCUUUUUCGAAUUGUCCUAGCUUGAAUCGACAUGCUGCUCUGUUAAACAGUAGAAUAGAAUUGUAUGGCUCUUGUUCUAGUCCUUCAGUGUACUCAAAAGAAGCCUCUGAGAAUUUAUUUUCUCUGAACAACUCGUUACCUUUUAACCGAGAUGAUGCCAACCCUUCAAUUCUCCUUAGAAUUGUGAUAAUUACUUCAUUGCUUUGAUCCAAUUUUGUUGCUUCUUGAGCUGCAGCUGUAGCCUCCUCAAACCAGCCAACUGUUGCAUAGGCCUCAGCUCGAGUGAUCAACAAAUAAACUGUUUUUACUGAACCAAGAAGGCAAGCACAUAGCUCGGUUUUUAUAUGAGGUACUUUCUGAAUUGUGGUGUAUGCUUCCUCAUGUCUAUGCAACUUUAUUAAUGCUUCAGCCCUCAUGGCAAAGAUCUUCAUUUGAAAUCAAGUAAAAGGAAAAAAGUAAGAAUCUUUAAACAUCUAAUUUCUUUAUUAGACUUUGUACAUUAGGGAUGGACUUUAGGCCUCAUUUUUUUCCCCAUUAAGAUUAAGACGUGUGAAUCUAUAUGCACAUCUAAAUGAUUAAGAUGUUGUCUUUAGAUUUGAACACGGAAGGAUUAACAUCAUUUGUUUUUCAACAUUUGAAUGAACAUAAUGUAAUUAUUUGUAAACAUAAUAAAUAAACAAUAAAUCAAUUAGAUAUUUUUAAAAAAAAUUAAUUUAAUAUAAUAAAAUCAUUAUCUGAUUUAAAAAAUGAAAUAUUCAUGUUAGCUAAUGAUGGUGGGGAUGGGUUGUAGUGAUGGUGGUAACGGUCUGUGGUGGUUGUGAUGUUGGCGAUAAUAUGUUCACUAAAUAUUUAUGUACGCCCUUGUUCUAGUCCUUUAGUGACUAGGAAUGGUGGUGGUGAUAGUUCUUAUGGUGGAGGUGGUUGGUGUUGUAGUGACUGUCGUGAUGGUGGUGAUUGAUAGUGGUGGUUGUGAUGGUGAAGUUGGUUGAUGUUAGUAGUUGGCGGUGCUGAUGAUGGCGGCUAAAGAAUGUUUUGGUGGUAGUUAACGGUGGUGCUAGUUGUUAUGGUUGAUUAUAAGGAUUGACCAUAGUGAUGGUAGUGGCAGUUAGUUGUGGUGGAGUUAGUGGCAACAAUGGCAGCGGUGGUGGUGGUUGUGGUAGUUGGUGGGUGUGCUAGUUGUGAUGGUGGAGUUGGUUGGUAGUAGGAGUUAGUCGCAGUGGUGGUAGUGGUGGUGGAGGAGAUGACGGUGGUGGUGGGAUAGAUAUAAUUAUAGUAAUGGAGGUGAUAGGUGUGGUAGUGGCUGGCAAUAGUGGUGAUGGUGAUGACAGAGGUGGUUGAUAGUUGAUGACAAUAAUGGUAGUUUUCAAUGGUGGUGGUGGUUGUGAUGGCAGAGGCGGUUAGUGAUAGUGAAGACUUUGUUCAAGAUCUUAAUGAUUAAGACCUAUACAAACCAAUUAGGUGCUUAAAUCUUAAUGAAAACAAAUACACUUAAUGGCCUAAUGUCUGAACCAUUCAGAUUCAGACCUCCACCAAGUACAAACAAAUGAGGCCUUAGUUGUAGUGAAACCUGUGGAGCUGAAUCUACUCCUAAGGUGAUAGAAUUUUGUGUUUCCUUUAGCAAUGUAUUGUAAUCUCUCAGCUUCUGUGCUUCUGUGCAUUUUAAGAGCUGUCUCUUAAUAUCAUGAGCCUCUACAAUGUCCUUCUUGUUAACUUUUCGCCCUGAUUGUUUGUAAUGAUCUAUGGCUUUCUCUGCAUCUCCCAGCCUGUCGAAAUGAACAAAAUUUUCGACUACAUUAACCAAAUUUAGACAAAAUCAUCUAAAGAAAAAUAAUUGACGAUUCAAAAUGAUUAACCUAACGUAUAGUCUUGCAAGACGAUAAUGUGCAUUGUGAUAAGAAGGGUCUAGCCGGACGGCCUCUAUACAUGCAACAACUGCCUCAAUCACGUGGCCUAAACUCAUCAAAGCUGCAGCCUUGUUGCUAUAAUAACUAGCAUUUCUUGGAUCAAUUGCAAUUGCUUGAUUGUACAAAUCCAAUGCCUCCUCAAGUUUCCCCUGUCUGUACUGCUCAUUGCCUAUGGACUUGAGCACAUCAGGGUCCAGUUUAUUUGCAGAACCGCGAAAUGAACUCCCUGGUUGAUGGCUUUUUACA